AAUGGCAAGUGAUGAUUAAAUCUUUUCCGCUUAUUGAUAUACUGAGUAAUUGUGUUGACAUCAAACUCCGCUUAUUAUCUGAUGCCAUUUAUUAUCCAUUUUUCUUCAGAAUUUAGUCUUCGAUUUCAAUCUUUACAAAAAUUUCAGUUUUUAGAUUUUUGUGAUGAAGGGGGCAAGCAUAUGAUGAAAAAUCUAUCACUUAUACUACACACCGAAUUAAAUGUAGACAAUAUCUCCGCUUAUUAUCUGAAGCUUGC
rnacentral:lncRNA from 1 species